CAGCGUUGCCGUGAGCUGUGGUGUAGGUCACAGACGCGGCUCGGAUCCCGUGUUGCCACGGCUCUGGCAUAGGCCGGCGGCUGCAGCUCUGAUUCGACCCCUAGCCCAGGAACCUCCAUAUGCCACGGGAGCGGCCCAAGAAAUGGCAAAAAGACCACCAAAAAAAAAAAAAAAAAAAAAAAAGAGGAGGAACCUUGGAAUAAAUGAAAUGAAAGAGCCCUUGUGGUUGUAUCUUCUCUCUUCACCUUUAUUCUUAGCCAGACCCCAGGGGUAUUGAACCUCUUGUUAAGAAGGGAGUGUAUGCAAGAGUUGGACCUACUCCUGACUUUGUAGAUGCUGACUUUUCUCUGCCUUUCCCAUCAAGCCUUAGCAAAGGGAUAGUGUAUCAUUUCCUCUGUUCUUGCCUCUCAGCUUGUUCUUUUGCCCACCACUAAGUUUUAUUCCUGCAUCCUGCCCUGUAUUUUUCCCCUCCAUCCACAUGCCUUUUUUUUUUUUUUGUCUUUUUAGGGCUGCACCUGCAGCAUAUGGAAGUUCCCAUGCUCAGAGCUGAAUCAGCGCUGUAGCUGCCAGCCUACAUCACAGCCACAGCAAUGCCAGAUCCAAGCCGCACCUGCAACCUACACCACAGCUCACAACAAUGCUAGAUCCUUAACCCACUUAGUGAGGCCAGGGAUCGAACCUGCAUCCUCAUGGAUACUAGUAAGAUUCAUUUCCACUACGCCACGAUGGGAACUCCCCUACCCCCUGUUUAUAGCACACUUUCCGCCUACCUAGCCACCUCUGACUUUUCCUCCAGCCCCAGUGCUGAGCUGAGCGUUCUUCACAUACAUCAUUUCAUGUGAAAACAAGGUGUCCUCACAACUUGAAAGCUGCAGACCCUCUUAAUACCUGCAUUUAGUAGAUGAAGAGAUGGAGGCUGACAGGUUUAGUAACUUGUCCAGGGUCAGAUAGUUCAAAAGUGAUGGAGUCAGGACUGUAGCACCGAAUUCAGACAUCAGAAGCUGAGCUGGGACUGUGCACAUGUCACUGCCAUGUUAACAUCUCACUGAGAUCAGGCAGAGUAUGCAUCACAACUGUCUCUUAAGAAAAAGUUUAACAUUGGGAGUUCCCGUUGUGGCUCACGGGGUUCAGAGCCCUGCUUGUAUCCAUGGGGAUGCGUCAAUUCGACCUCUAGCCUGGGAACUUCCGUAGGUCGUGGGUGUAGCCCUAGAAAACAAAAAAAAAACAAAAACAAAAACAAAAAAAGGAAGGAAGAAAAGAAAAAGUUUAACAUUUAAAUUUCUAUUAACAGUUUUUAGUCACUUUCAUGUUUUUGGCACAUUGGAAUCAUUUCAGCGUGACGCCUCUUCUGUAAGCCUUUGCAAGUAGAGGCUCCCAUAACAUCACUUUGUUUUGCCUGAUCACCCUCUGAACGGACUGCAGAUGACUUAUCUAGCACAGUGGACUUCAUGUCCAAGGUGAUGAGUCCAAAUACCACUAUUUUCCCAGUUUUUCCUUAAGACUAAUAUUCUAGAGGAAAGCCUUCUCUGGCCUCCAAUACUUUUUUCCACAAAAAGUUAAAAAAAAAAAAAGGUCUAGGAGUUUCUGUUGUGGCUCAGUGGUUAAUGAAUCCAACUAGGAACCACGAGGUUGUGACUUCUAUCCCUGGUCUUGCUCAGUGGGUUAAGGACCUGGCAUUGCCAUGAGCUGUGGUGUAGGUUGCAGACGUGGCUCAUAUCCAGCGUUGCUGUGGCUCUGGUGUAGGCCAGCAGCUACAGCUCCGAUUAGACCCCUAGCCUGGGAACCUCCAUAUGCCGCAGGAGCCACCCUAGAAAAUGUAAAAAGACAAAAGUCAAAUUGGUUUUCUUUAUGGUGGUACUUCUCAGCCAUGUAUAUUUUUUGAAUUAUCAAGAAGGGGAUUUAUGGAAGCUUUUUCUACCCUUGAAUAUGGAACACUUAGGGGGACCCGUUGUACUCAGAGCUCUGGGCUUUGACCACAAUAGGGAGGUAAGAAGAAUUGAUCCAUCCCAGAGUCUCUUCACCUCUUUGCUUGCUUUUUUAUUUAUUUAUUUUGCUUUUCAGGGCUGUACCUGCAGCAUAUGGAAGUUCCCAGGCUAGGAAUCUAAUCGGAGCUACAGCUGCCAGCCCACUCCACAGCUCACGGUAAUACCAGAUCUGAGCUGCAACUGUGACCUACACCAUAGCUCACGGCAAUGCUGGAUCCUUAACCCACUACGUGAGGCCAGGGAUCAAACCCGCAACCUCAUGGUUCCUAGUCAGAUUUGUUUUCGCUGUGCUAUGGUGGGAACUCCCCUCUUUGCUUGCUUUUUGAGAGGGUCUCUUACUAAAGGGUUUUGGUCUUGAUCUAAGGUAAUCAAAAUUAACCCCUAAUUAAAACCUUGAAGAGUUUUUAAUUGGGGUUAAUAAAUUUCCAUUUUAGGGAGAAUACUUAAGUUGCAAUCAAUGGAUGGAUGAAUGAAGGAGGAAAGAAAAGAAUCAGGGAAUCCAAUGAAGAGGUGGUUGAACAGGCAGGUUCCCUGCUGGUGGAAUGGUUAAGAUUAGGGACUUUCACUGCUGUGGCCUUUCACUGGCUGGUCUGGGAACUUGAGAUCCCACAUCAAGCCAGCUGCAUGCAGCAGACAAAAAAAAAAAGUUGCUGAAUGGUGACAGUUCAGGCAAGAAGUGAUGAUUCAGGUUCUAGAACAGUGCCUGGAACAUUAAAUAUUUGUUAAAAGUGUUAGAAAAAUGUGCAUCCUGGAAGGAAGACAGGGAAUUCCAAAGCAUUUCGAGGGGAUAAUUUUUUUUUUUUUUUUGCUUUUGAGGGCCACACCUGCGGCAUGUGACAGUUCCCAGGUUAGGAGUUGACUCAGAGCCACAACUGCAGGCCUACACCACAACCACAACAACUCGGAAUCCAAGCCACAUCUGCGACCUCCACCACAGCUCACAGCAACACCAGAUCCUUAACCUACUGAGCAAGGCCAGGGAUCAAACCUGCAUCUUCAUACACACUAGUUGGAUUCUUAAACAGCUGAGCCACAAGGAGGACUCCAUGUAAUCUUGAUGUGACAGAUUGGGCCAAGUUUGCUGGAAGUGUGAUGGUGGAUAGUGAACGGGAAGGGGAGGCAACAGUGAAGGAGCAGUGGAGGGCAUGUGUGCUAAUAACGGCUGUCCUCAAGACAUAGUU
rnacentral:lncRNA from 1 species